AGUGAACGCUGGCGGUAGGCCUAACACAUGCAAGUCGAACGGCAGCACAGUAAGAGCUUGCUCUUACGGGUGGCGAGUGUCGGACGGGUGAGGAAUACAUCGGAAUCUACUUUUUCGUGGGGGAUAACGUAGGGAAACUUACGCUAAUACCGCAUACGACCUACGGGUGAAAGCAGGGGAUCUUCGUACCUUGCGCGAUUGAAUGAGCCGAUGUCGGAUUAGCUAGUUGGCGGGGUAAAGGCCCACCAAGGCGACGAUCCGUAGCUGGUCUGAGAGGAUGAUCAGCCACACUGGAACUGAGACACGGUCCAGACUCCUACGGGAGGCAGCAGUGGGGAAUAUUGGACAAUGGGCGCAAGCCUGAUCCAGCCAUACCGCGUGGGUGAAGAAGGCCUUCGGGUUGUAAAGCCCUUUUGUUGGGAAAGAAAAGCAGCAGGUUAAUACCCCGCUGUUCUGACGGUACCCAAAGAAUAAGCACCGGCUAACUUCGUG
rnacentral:rRNA from 1 species